rnacentral:lncRNA from 1 species
AAGCUAUCCAGCCCACAGACCUACGAGUUCCAACCCAUUGACGACUUUGGGUCGAUCCCUGGAUACCGGGUCAGGUUAAAACCCAACAGACUGGUUCUCCGUAUGGGCACAAAGCUGACUUGCUUCUGCUGCGCUUGUUGAAACUCUCACUCUUGAGACUGAUUGAUAGCUCGCACAAGUGAAGAUGAAGGCGUUGAGUUGGUGGCUGAUGCUGGUGGGUUCACUUCGCUUGGUCUCCGUUUGGUUCGGGUUCUUCGACAUUUGGGCUCUCCGUCUCGCUGUCUUCUCUCAAUCCCCCAGUACACUUCUCAACUCACUUCAUUCUUUUGUUUCAACUUUUACGCAAUUUUGAAUCAACUUCUUCGUUUGGAUCCUGUUUGGUUGCUAAGAAAAAAAUUUGGGUUUGUUAUUUCAAACUUGAAGAAUGGAGAAAAACCCAUUUCUAUUUUUGUGGUUUGCUUCACUAAGAUUUACUUAUAAGAGAGCACAUAGUGAUCAAUGUGGGAAUUUGAUAGGAUAUACAGUUGGAAUUCUUGUAUUCUUAAUCUUGUAAGAAAGUCAAUGUGAUUCUAUGGAUUGUGUCCAGAUAUAGAUCCAAAAGAGCUGAACUUGUUUUUUUAUUUCAUCCAUAAGUAAAUUCUCUUUCUUUGCAAAUGCAUAAUAUAAUAGGCUGAUUUCUCCUUCAAUAUGUGCUUGUGGGAUAAAAGCUUUAUAUGGAUGUUCAGAUUAUACGAGAUUUCAGAUAAUAUUAAGUGUUACUAUAUUUGAUGUCAAUGUCACACAGAAGUAUAUAUCUCAUAUUGAGAAAUUACCCUAAAACUUGCUUUUUGUAAUCAAUGGGCAUGCUAUCCUCCUAGGCCCUUACUUAUAUACAACUGUACACUUUGCAUUUAAAUUACAGAACUUGCUUCUCUGAUAUCAUGAGUUGCUUGUAUGAGUAUGGCAUACUCGACCUAAUGCUGCUCAUUGCUGGAUCAACAUUUUAAACUUUCUUUGUGGUUUGUCUUUGCCUUUAAGUCCAUAACAGUGUGCUUCUAAUAUAGAAUGAAGAAUGUAGAAAAUGGAAUUAGUCUAUUAGAUUUUUCUUUUUCUUUUUAAUUUAUACUGUUUUUCUGAUUUUCAUGUUUUGCAUUUGUGAUUCGUAUUUUUAUUUCCAGUGACUGAAGUUCAUGGAAGGACAUUUGGUGUAUGGACUCUUCUUACUUGCACACUCUGCUAUCUUUGUGCUUUUAACCUUCAGAACAAGCCUCUCUACCUAGCUACCUUUCUAUCAUUUGUCUAUGCUCUUGGUCAUUUCUUGACUGAAUACCUAAUAUAUCAUACGAUGGCCAUUGCAAAUCUCUCGACUGUCGGCUUCUUUGCAGGUAUCAAAUCAAUUCACUUGGCUUCAUUUUGAAUCAAUAGAUAUAUUCAUCUUUCUUUUUUAUAUGCUACUUGUUUCAAAGCACUUGAAUGUGGCUGUUGACUUCUAGGCACCAUGGUACAAGAAUAAAUCAUACCGAAACUGAGGCUUCGUGCACUAUUUGGGAGAAAAGAAAAAAAUCUGUCAAUAUGAUGAUGCUUAUCAGAAAAAUGAAAGAAUUAAAUAAUCUAUAAUGAUUAUGAUGAUGCUAGCUUCUUCUGAAGCAAAAUUAUUUUUAAGAGAUAGCAGGACUGGAAUCUCAUAGCAUAAGAUUUGGAGAACUGUGUCUUCACAUGCUAUUGCGGAGUAACCCUGUUUAAUUGGAAUCAAAUAUAUUCAUCUUUCAACUGUUCACAAACGAUUUGUAUGCUAUAACAUCCGAUGACAAAUAAUUCUAAGUUUUUCUUUCUUGUGAAUAGCUUUAUAUAAUCAUGGUGAGCUUAGGAACCAAUAAUAUUUGUAGUAAAAGAAUUCUCUUGUGAUCUUGAUCAGGCACAUCGAUAAUAUGGAUGUUGUUGCAGUGGAAUGCACAUCAACCUCAGCCUUCGUUGAAAUCAGAAUAAAGUGUCUGGUUGGUUCCUGCCUCAGCUUUCUCCACAAUGUUGAUCAAGCCCUUUCUUAAACCGUGAUUUGUUCUCCGUAAUUGUAAUUGUAAUUUUUGACACCUGCUAUUGCUAUUGCACUGAAAUUUGGCGUAAAAUGUAAAAGUCUUUAACUCAACACUGUUGACCACUUAACAUUUUGAGUUGCUGACAAUUUUUGAAAUUAAGGUCCAAAUUAGAGAAACAAAGAUUGUCAAUCCUUCAUCAUGUAACCAUCAAUUCAGUGCAAUAAUUUUUUUUGGUAUAAGGG